rnacentral:rRNA from 1 species
UACGAAGGGGGCUAGCGUUGUUCGGAAUCACUGGGCGUAAAGGGCGCGUAGGCGGCUGUUCAAGUCGGGGGUGAAAGCCUGUGGCUCAACCACAGAAUUGCCUUCGAUACCGGACGGCUCGAGACCGGAAGAGGUCAGUGGAACUGCGAGUGUAGAGGUGAAAUUCGUAGAUAUUCGCAAGAACACCAGUGGCGAAGGCGGCUGACUGGUCCGGUUCUGACGCUGAGGCGCGAAAGCGUGGGGAGCAAACAGG